rnacentral:rRNA from 1 species
GCAUAUCAAUAAGCGGAGGAAAAGAAACCAACAGGGAUUGCUCUAGUAACGGCGAGUGAAGCAGCAAUAGCUCAAAUUUGAAAUCUGGCGUCUUCGACGUCCGAGUUGUAAUUUGUAGAGGAUGCUUCUGAGUGGCCACCGACCUAAGUUCCUUGGAACAGGACGUCAUAGAGGGUGAGAAUCCCGUAUGCGGUCGGAAAGGCGUUCUAUACGUAGCUCCUUCGACGAGUCGAGUUGUUUGGGAAUGCAGCUCUAAAUGGGAGGUAAAUUUCUUCUAAAGCUAAAUAUUGGCCAGAGACCGAUAGCGCACAAGUAGAGUGAUCGAAAGAUGAAAAGCACUUUGGAAAGAGAGUUAAAAAGCACGUGAAAUUGUUAAAAGGGAAGGGAUUGCAACCAGACUUGCUCGCGGUGUUCCGCCGGUCUUCUGACCGGUCUACUCGCCGCGUUGCAGGCCAGCAUCGUCUGGUGCCGCUGGAUAAGACUUGAGGAAUGUAGCUCCCUCGGGAGUGUUAUAGCCUCUUGUGAUGCAGCGAGCGCCGGGCGAGGUCCGCGCUCGGCUAGGAGCGUAUAAU